UUUCCUGUGGUUCAGUUAGUAUAACAAUCUGCUAGCAGCGCAAAGGUCGUGGGUUCAAACCCCCAGGAAUG